rnacentral:rRNA from 1 species
AAUGAACGCUGGCGGCAGGCCUAAAACAUGCAAGUCGAACGCCCUAGCAAUAGGGAGUGGCGCACGGGUGCGUAACAUGUGGGAAUAUGCCUUUUGGUACGGAACAACGUUUGGAAACGAACGCUAAUACCGUAUGGUCCCUUCGGGGUAAAGAUUUAUCGCCAAAAGAUUAGCCCGCACUGGAUUAGCUAGUUGGUGAGGUAAUGGCUCACCAAGGCGACGAUCCAUAGCUGGUCUGAGAGGAUGAUCAGCCACACUGGGACUGAGACACGGCCCAGACUCCUACGGGAGGCAGCAGUUAGGAAUAUUGGACAAUGGGCGCAAGCCUGAUCCAGCCAUGCCGCGUGAGUGAUGAAGGCCUUCGGGUUGUAAAGCUCUUUAGCCGACGAUUAUAAUGACUGUGGUCGGAGAAUAAGCCCCGGCUAACUUCGUGCCAGCCGCCGCCGUAA